rnacentral:rRNA from 1 species
UACAUAGGUCUCAAGCGUUGUUCGGAUUCAUUGGGCGUAAAGGGUGCGUAGGCGGCUCGGUAAGUCGGGUGUGAAAUCUUGGAGCUUAACUCCGAAACUGCAUUCGAUACUGCCGUGCUUGAGGACUGGAGAGGAGACUGGAAUUUACGGUGUAGCGGUGAAAUGCGUAGAUAUCGUAAGGAAGACCAGUGGCGAAGGCGGGUCUCUGGGACGGUACUGACGCUGAGACGCGAAAGCGUGGGGAGCGAACAGG